rnacentral:rRNA from 1 species
GAGGGGUCAUUCGAUACUAUCAAGCUAGAGUGCAACAGGGGAAGGUGGAAUUCCCGGUGUAGUGGUGAAAUGCGUAGAUAUCGGGAGGAACACCAGUGGCGAAGGCGGCCUUCUGGGUUGUUACUGACGCUUAAGCCCGAAAGCGUGGGGAGCAAACAGGAUCAGAUACCCUGGUAGUCCACGCUGUAAACUAUGGACACUGGGUAUGGGGAGUAUCGACCCUCUCCGUGCCGAAGUUAACGCGUUAAGUGUCCCGUCUGGGAACUACGGCCGCAAGGCUAAAACUCAAAGGAAUUGACGGGGGCCCGCACAAGCAGCGGAGCGUGUGGUUUAAUUCGAUGCAAAACGAAGAACCUUACCAAGGCUUGACAUGACGGUAGUAGCGAACCGAAAGGGGAACGACCUGUUGAGUCAGGAACCGCCACAGGUGCUGCAUGGCUGUCGUCAGCUCGUGCCGUGAGGUGUAUGGUUAAGUCCCGCAACGAGCGCAACCCCUAUUGCCAGUUAUACUCUCUGGCGAGACUGCCUCGCAAAACGGGGAGGAAGGUGGGGAUGACGUCAAGUCAGCACGGCCCUUAUGUCUUGGGCUACACACACGCUACAAUGGGUGGUACAAUGGGUAGCAAUGGGGUGACUCGGAGCUAAUCCUAAAAGCCAUCCUCAGUUCAGAUUGCAGGCUGAAACCUGCCUGCAUGAAGGUGGAGUUGCUAGUAACCGCAGGUCAGCAUACUGCGGUGAAUACGUUCUCGGGCCUUGUACACACCGCCCGUCACGUCAUGAAAGUCGGCAACACCUGAAGUCGAUGGGCUAACCCGCAAGGGGGGCAGUCGCCGAAGGUGGGGCUGGUGAUUGGGACGAAGUCGUAACAAGGUAGCCGUAGCGGAAGCUGCGGCUGGAUCACCUCCUUUCUAGGGAG